UACAGAGGGUGCAAGCGUUACUCGGAAUUCCUGCGCGUAAAGCGCGCGUAGGUGGUUGGUUAAGUUGGAUGUGAAAGCCCCGGGCUCAACCUGGGAACUGCAUCCAAAACUGGCCGGCUAGAGUACGGUAGAGGGUGGUGGAAUUUCCUGUGUAGCGGUGAAGUGCGUAGAUAUAGGAAGGAACACCAGUGGCGAAGGCGACCUACUGGACUGAUACUGACACUGAGGUGCGAAAGCGUGGGGAGCAAACAGG
rnacentral:misc_RNA from 1 species